rnacentral:lncRNA from 1 species
GGCUGAUAUCCCUCAUAUUUUCCUUUCUUCUCCAAGGGCUCAGAUUCAGUCUCUGUAGGCACCAUAACUUUGUCCCCUAGAAGCUCCUCCAAGAUGAAGACAGUUUCCCAGUUGCUAUAGUGACGAGCUGGGAAAAUAUCUGAGUGCAUGCUGUCACCAAAAUAAACAACCUUGGGGUCCAACUUUCCAGUCAUCUUCUUCAGUAGUUCAUAAAGAUGGAUAGCAUUACCUUGGG